AUAAUACUCCCUCCGUCCGGAAAUACUUGUCAGAGGAAUGGAUGUAUCUAGACAUAUCUUAGUUCUAGAUACAUUCAUUUUUAUCCAUUUCUUCGACAAGUAUUUCCGGACGGAGGGAGUAUAUG
rnacentral:pre_miRNA from 1 species